rnacentral:lncRNA from 1 species
UUUAAUAAUCUGGAGCUAAAAAUUUAGAUCAGAAGGGUUGAAGCAGGAAAACUGUUUCUGGGCUAAAACCAAAAUUUUUUGAGCUAAAAAUUUUAAGUUUUAGCGCAAGGGUUGGAGAUGGUCUAAGUGACACUACCCCUAAAAUUCUCACAGUGAAAAAUCAGACGUAAUCAUCCCGAUUAUUCCUCAUAUAUAGUUGUAAAAUUCUUUUCUUUUCUUUUUUAGAGUUUUAUCUAUUCAAUAAUUUUUAUUUUUUGUGCUGUGGUGGUUGUCUGAUAAAGCUUUUGUGGUUCAGCAAAAAGUGUUGGCCACCCUUUUCUAAGCGCAUAUUUGGAUUCACUUGGGACCAACUUCUCGUCCGGUGCAAAUUUUGCCACUGCAGCUUCCACAAUCAGGCUGCCCAAUAGCGUUAUACCAAGUGGUGGAUUUAGCCCUUUCUUCCUUGAUAUUCAGUACAUGCAGUUCAUGCAAUUCAAAUCCAGAUCACGACUCAUAAGGCAAAGAGGUAAACUACUAAAACUUGAAUGUGUUGCUGUAUCAAUGCGUGUUCCAAUUUGGAUUAAUAUCUACUGAUCAAGUUAAUAACCACUUCUUUGAUAAAAGCAACAUUUACAUGAGUGGAACCCAUAUAAGUAGGAUUCCCCCUUUUUUGGUGGUUAGUAUAUGUCGUACAAACACAAUUACAGAUAAUGACUAGGGUUUUGGAACGAAAUUUUGUUUUUUGAGCUUUGGGCAUGUUUACAUAUAGAGAAUAAGAAUUAAAAUAAUUUUUACGUUUAUUAAAAUAUGAGUAUGAGAAUCAUUUCACUUUUUAAUUCUCUCAUGUGUUCAGUAGCACAAAUAUAAUUAGAUAACUGUGUCUUUCUUUUUGAAACCCAUAAUCAAAUACCUAAACAUCUAGAAGUAGAGAGCAACUAGAGGGGCUAGUUGUGAUCCUAUUCCUCUGUCCUUACUUCCCCUAUUUCUAUGUUUUCUGAUUCCUUUCCUCUUGGAUUAUGUUAAGUAACCAUGCCCUUCAUCUUGAUUUCCAGGAGGAAUAUAUGCAAGUUUACUGCCCAAGGAUGAGUACUUCCCCAAAGCUUUAUACACAUUUGACAUUGGUCAGAACGACCUUGGGGAAGGGUUCUUUGCAAACAAGACUAUAAAGGAGGUGAAUGCAUCUGUUCCUGAUAUAAUCAUCAAGUUCUCAACAAAUAUUCAGGUAACCUUUGAAAAUAAUGACCUAAUUGGUGGGUUUUUUAUUGUUGCCUUAAUAUGUUUACCCAUCGAUGAUCAUCAAGAUAAUGUUGUGAUGUCACAAAAUGUAGAAAAUAUAUGACUUGGGAGCCAGAUUGUUUUGGAUCCACAACACUGGGCCAAUUGGCUGUCUCCCUUACAUUUUAGCUAAUUUUCCAUCAGCUCAAAAGGACGAGGUUGGCUGCGCAAAGUCUUACAAUGAAGUGGCUCAGUAUUUUAACCACCAACUGAAGGAAGCCACAGUUCAACUUAGGAAGGAUCUUCCUUUGGCUGCAUUUACUUACGUGGACAUAUAUUCUGUCAAAUACUCUCUUUACAAGGAACCAAAAAAAUAUGGUAAGCCGCCCAAACUGUAUGAUAUUUAUACACAUAACAUACCUGCAUUUUAGAGGCCUCCCUUGUUAACUUGAAUUCACCAUACGUUACGAUACGCAGAGAGAAAUGUUGCAUGGAAUAGGUGCAUUCAAGUUUUUCUGUCAGUUACGUUGGAUGGCUAGGACUUGAAAUGUCCUAUCAAAAUGGUCGACUUAACAAUGGUACGACUAGAUUAAAUCAAACAUUUUCACAUAGUAGGAGGUAAAAAAAAAGUCACCUCUGCUACGAUGUAACUUUAUAAAACUUAGACGAGUAAUGCUAUUUUUACCACCUAAUAUAAUGUACCACAGUUCAGUACCAUCUAAUGUUACAACUGAGGGGAACAAGCCACAUCAAUACAAAAUUAUCUUGUGGAAAAUGAGGUGUAUAAUCCCUAGGGUUUGGUUGGUUGGACUUAUAUUUGCGUUAGUGUAUUAUAUAAUAUGAUAAGUGAUGUGUUAACUAUCAGUUUUUCAUAACAAUUGAGAGCACACCUAAAACCUAAUCGUAGAUUAGAGAAAUUUCAUUAAUGUUAUUUAUUUUCCGUUGUAUGAAUCUUUCUUGAAACUUUUUUCAGGGUUUGAGUUCCCACUUGUUGCUUGUUGUGGGUUUGGUGGGAAGCACAACUAUAGCAGUAGUGCUGGAUGUGGAACAACAGUUACAGUCAAUGGAAGCCAAAUAUUUGUUGGUUCGUGCAAAAGCCCGUCAGUGAGAGUGAAUUGGGAUGGCAUUCAUUAUACUGAGGCAGCUAACAAGUUUGUUUUUGACAAAAUUUCAACUGGAGCAUUUUCAGAUCCACCCCUUCCCUUAAAACAUGCAUGUCACAGGAUUUAGACUAAUUAAAAAUUAAUUAAACCAUAAAUAAGUACUCCUGCAGACGCAUGCAUGUGGAAAACUGGAAAUCUUUUAUGGCAAUAAUGUUCUACCUUGUAUAAGCUACUUUAAGUCGUUAAGGUAGUAGGUUAGAACCACAAAAAAAAAUAAAGGCUCCAACAUUCAGUACUGUUGUAACUAUAUUGGAAACUCUUAUGAUGAUUAUACACUAGCCCAUUUGUAUAAGAUGUAUCAGGUUCAUCCUUAAGGCAUGUAGUUUCCAAAUGCAGAUAAUUUGCUAUAACCUUCACUUUUAGUUUGAGGUUUAUUGAGAAAACGUAUUUUACUUGAGACUAAAGAAACAUCUACCGGCUUAUUCGCUUUGCACACGAGUUUUAGGCGCAAUUAAAGUAUGAAAGAUAGCAAAGUUAUUUACAUGCCUUAAAACAAUCUGUCUCCAACAUCUUCAACACUUGUUCGACCAAAAAAAAACAUCUUCAACACUUGUGUCAGGUGAUCAGGUUUUGGCUCAACAUGAGGUCAAAUCAAACUUGAUGUACUCUUAUUUUACAUCACAUUGACCCAAGUCAAUUGUCUAACAAGUGUAACAAACCAACGUAUUCCAUGUUAUGUAGUAAUCGGGAAGGGACCAUAAACACCUGAAUGAACCAAAUCCAAAAGGAAAUUCUCUUUUGUUAAAACUUAAAGGGUACGAAACACAAUAUCUUUUAGCUAAAGUGCAAAUAUUAAAUUUUAACUCAGAGUCUUGAACACCAUUUUUUUUUUUUCCCCGAAGAUAGAAAUAUAUUAGAUACGAAUAGAAAGGUUUACAUCCUGGGCUAGGAUAUUAAACAAAAAUUCAGGCCCAAUACAGUCCCACCCAUAUUCACGACCCUCCUUGAAAACAAACUUAGCAACCGAGUGAGCAGCAACAUUGCCCUCCCUAGGCACGUACGAGAACGAAACUGACCUCAACCUACGCGCUAGAACCUCAAUAUCACCAAGAAUACAUUCAAGACUGAAAUCAUGAUCCAUUUCAUGCCUAAUCAUCUGAAUAAUCACUUUGGCAUCAGAUUCAAUAACAACAUUAUCAUACCCAUAGUUAAUACAGGCCAAGAGGGCGGUCCUGAUUGCAGCAGCUUCCCCAGCAGCCGCGGAGUGGCACAGCGCAACGCCAGAGCCCCCAGCACCGUGAAGUAAUCCAGCAAAGUUGCGGCAGACCCAGCCUACCCCCGUGCGGAGGGUGUUCUUGCACCACGAGGCGUCAGUGUUGACCUUAAGGAUCCCGAACGCCGGCUUCUCCCAUCUACAAGCCCCACGGUCCAAGGAAGCAAUCUUCGAUCGACACCCAGGCUGCUUUCCAGCAGGCUCGCUGAGCGUAGCAUCUCUGAAUUCAGAGAUGUUCCUGCUCCAAGCCUCCAAAAGCUCCAAGGGCUGCCGGUGCACCCCAUUAAAAACCACCUCGUUCCUGUUUUUCCACAGUCUCCAUAACCCAAAGGUAAACUCCUGCAUGAUCUCCUCCGCGUUGUCCCUCCCCUUAACCCGAGUCCAGAACAACUCCCAGCUAGAUAGGAAGUCUGCCCCUGCCAGCGCAAAGGAAUUCAACUGAAGCGAAGAGGAGAACCAUAACAGGUGGCUAAGGUGGCAUCGGAAGAAUAGAUGAGCUUCCGUCUCAUCCAUAGCACCACAAACACCACAGACGUUGUCCACUCUCAUAUGUCUCCGCUUCAGGUUACGUCGAACAGCCAGAGCAUUGUUACAACAUCGCCAGAUAAAAAUUUUAAUUUUGUUAGGUACCUUCAACUUCCAGAUCAGGUUCUAAGCAGUGCAGUUCUUUAGCUUGUCGCUUGCAGACCCACAACCUUUCUUCCCCAAAGCACCGUUUUCCAUGAGGUUCAUAGCCACUCCGUACCCCGAUCGCACCGAAUAAACCCCAUUCGCGUUGUGGUGCCACACCAUCCGGUCCCGGCACCCAGUCUUGCUUAAGGGGAUGCUUAAGAUUAGUCUCACAUCGUCCUGGUGAAAGCUUGCCAGGAUCAGAUCACGUUUCCAAGAGCAGGACCCCGAAUCAAUUAACUCACUUACCAUAGUAGCAUGCAAGCUUACUAAAGGCCUAACUUUAAACGUAGAGGGCCUAGGAAACCACGGGUCCUCCCUAAUGUUAAUGCAUGCCCCGUCCCCGACCCGCCACCGCAGGCCAUGUAGGAGCACCUUCCGGGCAUAAAAAAUCCCCUUCCAACCCCACGACGUGUUCCUACCCUUUCCCGCCUCAGUAAAGCUCUUCCUAGGAUAAUAUUUUUCUUUCAGAACAGUAGCAAGCAAAGACCCCGGAUUCUGGAUCAGCCGCCACCUAAUCUUGGCAAGGAACGCCAGGUUAAAACACUGGAUAUCCCUAAAGCCUAGCCCGCCGACUCGUUUUUGCUUCAUUAACCGCUCCCAUGAGAUCCAGUGGACCCCAUUUCUCUGCUCGUUCCCUCUCCACCAGAAAUUCCGGAUAGCUUUCUCCAGGUCUCUACAUACCCUAAUGGGAAGUUUAAAACAGCUCAUGGCAUAGCAUGGCAUCGCCAUGGCUACUGCCUUGACAAGGACUUCCUUUCCUGCUUGGGAUAGAAAUUGCUCAGCCCAACCCGCCAACCGGGAUUCAAGCCUGUCCCGCACCUCUUCAAAAACCAUUCUUUUAGAGUUGCCAAAAUCAGAUUGCAGCCCAAGAUACCUACCAAAACCAGACUUGCAUUGGAUUCCCAUAGUCCGGCCAAUCUUUCUCCUCACCCUGUUCGAGGUCUUCGAGCCGAAGAAAAUUGAGCUUUUGGCCAGAUUAAUAGCUUGGCCAGAGCCUCGGGCAUAUGUUCGCAGCACCUCUACGAUGCCACUCGCCUCCUCCACACUUGCAUGACCGAAUAACACCGAGUCAUCCGCAAAAAACAGAUGCGAGAUCGGGGUCCCGUUUGCUGACACACUGAACCCGUGGAGGGCACCCCGCUCCAUCCCUCUCCUGAUGAGCAUGGAAAGACCUUCUAUACAGAGCAAGAAGAGAUAGAGAGAUAGGGGGUCUCCUUGUCGCAGCCCAUGCUCCGGCAGGACAAGCCCAGUCGGGUUCCCGUUUACUAGGAUGCUGAAAGAGGCCGUGGAAAUGCACUCCUUGAUCCAGUUGCAAAAUAGGGGAGCGAACCCUAAUUUCACCAUCAUGGAUAAGAGGAACACCCACUCCACGCGGUCGUACGCCUUAGCCAUGUCGAGCUUAAUAGCCAUGCCAGUCUGGUCACCUUUUUUUUUAUGAAGCAGUGUGUGUAGUAGCUCGUGCACCACCAAAAUGUUGUCCUGAAUUUGUUUCCCCGCCACAAAGGCAGAUUGGUUGUCACAAAUCACCUUUGGCAUCACCAUCUUUAGCCGGUUAGUGAGAACCUUGGCAAUGACUUUGUAGAUUACAUUGCAUAGUGCAAUAGGCCGGUAUUGCGUCAUGUUCUUCGGGCACUUGACCUUAGGGAUAAGCACAAGGUUAGUAUGAUUAAGUUUCCUCAGGAUAGUACCCGAAUGCCAGAAGGCUUUGACUAUCUUUAUCACAUCCUUGCCCACAGUAUCCCAAUGAUCCUGGUAAAAGCAUCCAGAGUACCCGUCCAGACCAGGGGCCCUAAUUGGAGGGAUUUGGAAGACAGCCGUUUUGAUUUCCUCCUCCGUCACCGCUGCCGUCAAGGCAAGGUUGUCCUCAGCAGACACACGUGGUGCCAGGCAUUCCCCAAUCUCAUCGAUUUGCCCAGGGCUGCUCGACUUAAAUAACACUGCAAAAUAAGAGGUAGCAAUUGAAGAUAUCGCUGCUUCAUCCUCCUGCCACACUCCAUUCAAAUCCUCCAACCCCUUGAUUUGGUUGAACCUCCUUCUUUUGAGAGUUUGAGCAUGGAAGAACUUAGAAUUUUUAUCACCUUCCUUUAACCAUUGGGCAUGCGACUUCACCCUCCAGUAAGAUUCUUCGUUUCGAUGGGCAGCCCUGAGCUCUCUCUCCUUCAUCUUAACCACCUCCGAGGCAAAUUCAGUAGACAUAUAAGCCGCUCGAAUCUCUUCUUUCAGCUGCCCGAUGACUUUCUUCGAGUUCAUUCCUCUCCCCUGAUACCAAUCCUUAAGCUUGUGCCUUAGGGCUUUCAAUUUUUCACAAAAGCGAAAAUCAUGUGACCCCCCAUGUUUAUCUCUCCAUUCCUCUACCACCAAUUACUGACACUCCUCCAUUUUGCUCCAUCGUGCAUCAUAAGAGAAUUUUCUCCCCUUCCAUGCUUUCACUUUCUCCGUGGACAAAAAUAACAGAGCAUGGUCAGACCCUUCCAGUACCACAUGCCUAAUUGUGUUCUCAGGGUAAAGGUCCUGCCAUCCCAUAGUGGCCAAUCCCCUGUCCAGGCGCUGCUGAAUAGGCUUCGCCUCCUGGUUGUUCCGCCACGUAAACGGAUAGCCAACAAAACCCAAGUCCAUGAGCUCAUUUUGAGCCACAAACUCUCGAAAGUCUCGCAUAUUAGCCGUCGGUCUGUAGUUACCCCCUCUUUCUCAUCAUUACACAGAAUGUCAUUAAAGUCCCCGAUGAGAAGAGUUUUUCCCCUAUUGUUUCCAAGCCGCCUGCUCAAAUACCCCCAUUGAUCCCGCAGUUUUUUCUCAUCAGUACUAGCAUAGAUUGCAAACAAAUACCAGUGACACUUCUUGUGCUCAUCCCAAAUUUUAACUUCAAUAACAAAGUCCUCAGACUUCACCAGAGUAACCUGGGAAGCAUCCCGCCAGAAGACACAGAGGCCUCCCCCAAUGCCCCUAGGUUCCACUGCGUGCAUGUACUCCAAAUCCAAACGUUUCUUGAGAUACCCAUACCGACUGCUUUUAUUUUUGGUUUCCAGCAAAACCACAAUGUCAGAGGUGUGGAGCCGAUUCUGCUCCAGUAGAUUGUCAACUGUCAGGUCACCCCCGAUACCCUGACAGUUCCAAGUAAGUAGCCUCAUUUGGACCUGGGAGACCCCUCACGGCUGGUCUCCUCCGCCUCAACAUAUGUCUUCCUACUCAGCUUAGAUCUUUUAGGUUCCACACAGGGGUUAACCUCAUCAUACUCCACUUCUCGGGCACUUCUCUUUUUGCCUUUAUUCUCGUUCAUCACGGCUUCAAUGAUAGCUUUCAGCUCAAAAGGAUCAUCAUCUUUAGCCAGAUCACAUCCACUCCCGCACCCCCGACCAUCACUAGCUUCCCCCCGUCUAGCAUUCACAUUGUCCCCAUCCUCACCGACUCCAGGCACAAGGUUAAGAUCGAAAAAAGAGCCUUCAUUCAGAGUUAUACUUACCGAAUCCACCCGUCCCUCCUGCUCGUAAUGGUCAUUAAGUACCACGUGUUCCGCUCCCGCUGCCACCGCACCUCCCGGCCCAAUUAAGCCUGCAUCGAAAGCCAGUUCUCUCGCUGACCUUGCCUCUUCUUCAGCUAGCCUUUGGCGUCGGAUUUUCCCCGCAAGCACGUUGUCUCUGUAUCCCAUUUUGUUAGACGACCACCUAGGCUUGCUUGGUGAUGUUCCAGUGUCAAUAACCUCCUCCUCCAACGGCGCGGUGCACUCACUACUGCUCUGAGAUCUGCUAGCCGUUAUCGGGGGUUGACAUCCCAUUCCUGACGCCGUAGAAGACCGCCCGGAGCGUCUACCACCACCCAGUUCUUCGUUCCACCGCUCCGAUCCACUCCGUCCACCAUUUGACCCAGAGGAUGCCCUGCUCCUGGUUCCAGCUCCCAGAGGAUUACCUCUCAGGUCCGACACCGCAUCUAACCCACGGAACGCAAGUACCUCAUUCCUCGUCUUGGUGCAAUCUCUUUGGUCUGUUCUUUCAUCCAAAACUUCCUUGCAAAUCCUAGUAGGGUGUCCCAGCUUUCCACAAAUGAGACAGUAGUUAGGAAGUGAUUCAUACUUGAAAUCAAUCCAGAUCUUGCCUUCAUCGGGAAAGGUCACAAAGGUCCCUUGCAUUAGGGGUUCGCGAACAUUGAAGCCAAUUUUCACCCGGAGGAAUCUUCCAAUGCAGUCACGGCUCCCAGUUUUGUCCACCGAUCGAACCUCACCCAUCAAACUACCUAUUGUUUCAGCUACCGCUUGGGUCAUACUGAGCACCGGGACGUUAUGCAGCUGGACCCAAAGCACACCCAGGGAGAGAGGGGUCCAUCGGUUCAGCCCCUUCUCCGUUCAAUCCGCCACCAAUACAAGGUCAUUUUUGAACAUCCAAGGCAUGUCCGCCUCAACCACUCGUUGCAAAUCCCUUUUCCCAGCAAACCGAGCAAGAAAUCUCCGAUCUCUAAUCUCCCUAAUCGAGACCCCCUCACGUCCACGCCAGAGAGACAUGAAGCAAUCAACGAACACAUCUCCUUUCACCGCCUUAGUAGUGAGGACUUCUGCAAUCAGGGUAUACUGAAACCCUAAUAGAGCACCUUCGACAUCCUUUCUCUCAAUACACACGCCUCCCUGUUCUUUCUCAGACAGGAUGAGGUUGAUCCCAAAUCGUGUCCCCAACUCCUCUAGGUCCUCAUUCGGACUUCCCCCAGCCAUGGCUAGUUAGAAGAACCGCACCUCACUCACCCCCCAGAGGCCACCACCACAAGCGCCAGCCACUGUACCUUAUCUCCUCUCAGAUCUCCACCAGAUCCAGAUCUCCGCACCUGGGCAGGCCGCCCUCGAGCCGCCAGUGGAACAACUUUGCUCGCCGUUCCCCAAUAAAUCACGACAGCCGAGCCAAGUCCCCGGAUUCGCAACCAGAGCUUCGAGAAGGAGGGACUAGCUGGUCAGAUCUCGGACAACGAUUUAACUACAGGACGCGCUCGUUGACGGAGCACCGCACUCCUCCUUUCGAGGCACAUUUCUCACUUUGAGUCUUUUUCUCUUGAACACCAUUAAAUAAAGACGGAUGCAACUUAUGCAAAUAUUCAAAAGAUGCAUGCCCAAUUCAACAAUGCCACAACCAACAUCUUCUUAACGUGCUCGUUGUUACUACUGCAAACUUGAUGUACUCAACCAGAUGCCACAUCGUCAACAUAGUAUAGCCCCUUUCUCUUAGUGCCAUGCUGAAUGAUUGCCCAAGUCUAGAUAUCUUGAAGUAGGCAAAAUGUAGGAAACAUUAAUUAAAUACAAUCCAAUUGCUCAGUAACUUGACCAACUGACAAUAAGUGGUUCAAAAAAGCAAGAAUUAACAACCUACGGUGUAAAGAUAAAGUGAGAGUUAAGGCAAUAGAGUCGGCCCCUGUUACUGGGACAACAUCACCAUUAGCCGUAACAACACUCUCUUUAGGAGGUGUUGUCAUAUACUGAAACAGGGAUUUGUCAUAUGUGGAUCAGUUGCAACGAAGUCAACAAUCCCACCGCAUCUCUAUCCACAGAUGCAAUUGAAACCUUACCAAGAUUACCUGUGUCAUCAACAAUAUCACAGAGAGAAGAUAGUUGGUCAAUAAGUGACAAGACCAGUUCAGGGGUCUUAUGGCUAGUUGUGGUAUUGACGAAAGUCACAUUGGAAUCACUGUUACCGCCAGUUGGUUCCUCCUUAUUACGGCCAGCAGAUAUUGCUGCAACUCUUGUACCACUAUCAGCUACUUUGGCUUGUCCCAUACGAGAACUCCUUUCAGCCUUUACUGGACGAAACUUUUUUGACAACUUUCUUUAUCAUUCCUUUUUGAACACUUUAUUUAUUAUUAAGGAUAUGUUUUUUUAAAUCAAACCCCUUAUGGGGUGUGACUGCAUUUUCCUGUGUGUAUGUGUUCAGGAAACCGAAGCAGGGGCACCAUGGAAAUGAGGGUUUCAUUCCGACUCUCGAUGAGGUAAGCAAAUCAUUAGCAGAAAUAGUCUCCUCUGAUGACCCUUCAGGCUUUAUCACAAGUGUGUACAAAAUUGGACGCCGUGUGGAGAUCUUUUGUACGUCGAAUAUACAAUUUCCCCAGGGCAUACACAGCAGGGGACAUUAAUGAAAUUCAACACUCUGGAGCAAGGACAAAUGUUUCUUUUCUAAACAGAUGAAUCUUGAAGACCAAAAUUGCAUUACGGCCAGAGAGAUAUGUGGCCGGUUGGGAAGAAGCCAAGGGGCUUAAGGGUACUUUUAUCCAGAUUAAUGAAAGGGUUCAGGAAGCAGUGCAACAAUCACCCUUUCCUCUCAAUCUCGAACACUAUGUCCUAUUUCCUUGCCUCGUCACCCAUCUUGAUCAUUGGAUAAAAAUUCACAAGAUGGAGAGUGCGCGUACUUAUAAUGAUUUUGCAUUCAACAUUUUGGGGUUAGUAAUAUUUUAUUUGACAUCUCCUCUUGUUAAUGGCUAGCUAUGCUACUGGACAUUACUUAUUCUCAAGUAUUAAUUUUUUUUUAUUUGUAAUUGCACCCAUAAAUAUUACUAAGGCUCUAGCUGAUUGUCCUCAUAUCCAUGGUAAUCUUCGAACUGGAUGAUCGAACUUGAUGCAAGGAUGCUCAUUUAAUCACUAUCAAUUUUUUUUCUUGUCUUAUUUCACUAAGGGGUGUGAUAUCCACACAUCCCUUUUUACUUCUCUCACACCUUUUUGGCUUUCGGCCGUCGGAUCGGAUGAAUUAAAGAAGAUUAAUUGACAGAAAUUAACAAAGGGUGUGUGAGAAGUAAAAAGGGGUGUGUGGAUAGCACACCCAUUUCACUAAAGGUCAAUCACAACAAGUAUGGCACAAGGAUUCUGAUGAUCUCUGUUAUCUCAUCGACCAAAUAUAUGAAGGUCGGAAGUUGGACGAGUCGACGACUGUUCGUAUAGAAAAGUACAAGUCUUUCCUCCAAAGAAUCACAAAUUCUGUUAAUAUUCGUCAUGAAGGCGGGAAAAUCAGCAACAUAAGUUUAGUGAGGUUCUACAUGUUCAGUAAUUCAACCGUCUGGAGCAGCAGCAAGGAAAAGGUGCAGCUAAUUGCAAACGUUUACAGACUCCAUAAAGAUGAGACCUUUGAUAUAGUUAGGGCGUUCACAGCUCAAUUUGGUAAUUGGAAGUAUGAUGACUGGCAAAAUAAAGUGGACAACCAUGUCGUUUUCAAGGCUGUGAAAAUUAUCAACAGAACAAACGCCGACUCCGCCAAGGUAGAAGUCCUCAGAAUUCCAAUUCCCGUUUAUACAACUGCAGAAAGUUGGUUAUUGUAUGUGCACAACUGUAUGAAGCACUACUGGGAACAUGCAAAGCGGUUACAAAAGGUGAGUCUCAUCACCCUACAAAAUUAAUACCUACUUGUCAGCAUGCAUCUUCUAACCUUUUCUUUUCUUUUAAAUAAACAGAAAGAACAUGGAACAAGUCGAGUACUGGAGAAGUUGACAAAGCUGUUUCCUACGCUGAUUGAAGACAUGUAUGCGGGGUUGGCCCAGGCUCUAUAUGCUGAUAAAGUUAGACAUCCUCGGUUCAUGUCAAGGGAGAUAGUGAAAGGGGGUAAUCGCGGCAUGAGAAGCAAAGACAUUUCAAGGAGUUCGAAAAAAUUUAAUGAAUGGCAGUUACUUUUUGAGUAGAUUCUAGUUCUUAAGAAUUCAUGAGAAUUUUCAAGAGAAGUUUGAUAGGAGGCAGUUGGUUCUUUUUUUGAGCUCUGUUUUUGGGUGUGUGUCUGUGCAGCACGUCUUUCUUUUGUCGUAGCCAGGGUAUAAAAAAUCGAUAAUAUCGGCGAUAUUUCGCCGAUAUUAUCGUUUUUUUCGGAGUUCGAUAUUUCCACACACAUCCAAUAGGUUUUCGUCAAAAUAUCGCGAUAUUAUCGAUAAUAUCGCGAUAUUACCGAUAAUAUUGCGACAUUUUAGAAAUCAACCCAGAAAUCCAACCCCAAUCUUGUUCCAAUUUUGCAGAUCAAGAAACAAUCAAAACAGAUUCAACCCCAAUCUUGACAAACCCUAGAAAUCAACCCAGAAAAAAAAAUCGAAAUAAAACCUUAUAUUUUGAAAUCAACCCAGAAAUCUCAUCGUUCAUUCCGGCGGCUGCUUUUUCUACGACUGCUUCGUUCCUUCCGCUCCUUGGAGCUUCUCGCCGGAGAGGAGUUGCGACUAUCGAAACCAUUGGACUCAGUAUACGAUGCAGAAUCGUUGUCAAAUCUUCUUGCGGCGACUCUUGGAUAACAACAACGUCGACAACUCUUGGAUGAUGACGAUGACGGUGCCUCCUUCAUACUUCUACAGAAGGAGAGGUAAGAGUCUCGACGACGGCGCCUCCUUACUUCUGACGACAACGGCGCCCCUUUUUUCUGCGGUGACUCUGGAUGACGACGAUGGCGUCUCGACGACUGUUGAGUCGAGACUGAGAGAGAUGAGAUUGGGAAAUCGAGACUGAGAGAGAUGAGGGUUCAGACUUGAGAGAGUUCGAGAAUGUGUGUGCGUGUCCGUGAAUCAGAUCAGAGAUUCAGAAUGAGAGACGGAGAGGAGAGGACUGAAAAACUUAAGUUGGAUUGGACGGUUGAGAUUAAAUCUCAACCAAUCCGACGGUCCACAUAAUUCUUAAACCUAUUUAAAUUAAACAUAUAUUUUAUAAAUGUCUUUGUGUGCGUGUGUGGUGGCGUGUGAGAGUCUCUGACUCUAUGUAUGUGUGGUGGCGUGUGAGAAAAAAAAAAAGCAUUCAAAUAAUUCAUAGGGAACUUUAACAAAAAGCUCAUGGUACUGUUCACUUUAACGAAAAACCACCACAUUUUUACACUAAAAAGUCAAUCUUGGUACUAUUUAUUUUUCCCUUUAUUGUUGGUCCUUAUUGUUAAAGUUUUCAAGCCCUUUUCAUUAGUUUUCCUUAAUUUCAUAACCUUGUCUCUUGACUCUUUUACAACUUUUACAACUUUUGACAAGAUAAAAAGUAAUGGUGUUUCAUCAAGAUUCUAAAUCACUCAUGUAUCUUACCCUGCAAUGUUGUUGACCCUAGAAACUACAAAGCCUACGUGGCGCGCAGGCCGAGUAAUUAAUGAGCUAACUACGUCCUUCGGUGAAUGCGGGGGCGUGCCAACUCGUCGGCCGAGCUCGGCCGAGGAGUAAAUUUGUUGAUGUUGCGUUGGGUCGCGCUACUGACUUCUGCGUCUUGCGAUUGCGGCCGAGAAAGGAAACACGUCUCGGCCUCUUGGGCUCUCUCGAACCUGAAGACAAGGUUUUACUAUUUUACGAAGUUCGAUAUCAUAAAUUCGGCUUUCAAUGUGCCGAAUGUAAUAAUAAUGUAACACACCUCACUUCGCCGAGAAGGCUGAUGAGAUGACCUCGACUAAUAAGGAUUUAGAAACCCUUCUCAACCGAGACUUGGAUAGGUAAUCAAUCGUUCUCGCCGCAGUGCUGUGUUGAUGCCAACGGAAGAUACUGCGAGACCGACUGACUCUACGGUGACAGAGCUAUCUAUGCCGACUUAAGAUAUCACCGGUUGCUUCCACAGUGCUGUUGAUGCCAACGGAAGAUGUGUCAGCGAAAAAAGGAAAAAGAAAAAUCACAAGUUGUGAGAGUUUGCGCAGGGCAAUUUUUGUAUUGAUUUGCAGGGGUCCUUAACUUGGUGCACUGAGUCUUGUAUUUAUAAGGUUGGAUAUCUGCUAGCUUUGGCCUGACGGAUUUGUAUUUCAAUUGCACCCAAAGACUUCAUGAUGGAAUAUGCGAAUCUGAACAACAAUAGAGACUCUGCAUGCUAACCCUAUUUUAUUCCCACUUUGACUUAUAUUUAUCCCAUCAGAAACUUUCUUAUCUCAUCAGAGCCUAGCCUUAUCCCAUCCAAAGCCAUCACUUCAAAGUCAAACUCCUAAUGCAACUAUAAAACCUUUUUCUUCUUCCACCAUGCAUGUCCAUAUGCAUGCAACUUCAUUAAUCCCAUUUUUAAUUUAAAUAUUUAGCAUCCUGCCAAAAUAUUUGAUGACUAUGAUUCUUCCAUAUCUGUCAAGAUCUUUGAACUCAUCCGUCCACAUCCCUUUGUGUUCUUUCUUUGACCAAUUUGCUUUGACCAUACAGGAUAAUAAAAUAAUAUAUUCAACGGCCUCGAUUACUCGGGCCGAUUGUGUAAAUUCGGGCCCAAACAAAUGUAUAAAGUGUAAAAUAUUGUAGUAAAUCAUUAUAUAUAAAUGAUUAUGGUGUGUUUAAUCUUUUUUUCAUUAAUUACUACAUAUUUUCUACACUCACAGUGUUUGCCAGCUCGCUGUAUAAUCAACUUAAAUCAGUUAAAUCCAUCCUGCAAUGCAUUUCCUUCCAAUUUUUUGUGAUAAACUAAUAGAUAAUUGACUAAAUAAACAUCCUGCAAAGUUUCAAUAAAAAUUUCCAAGUUUUUCUUACAAUUUCCGUGGUUUCCAUGUAAUUUUUAUCGAUAUCGAUAUUAUCCCGAUAUUUCCAUCAAUAUUUCCGUGUUUUCGGACUACCGAUAUUUCCGAUAUUACCGAUAUUUUCUUCCUUGGUCGUAGCCAGAACUCCUGUUUUUGGAGGAUUAUAUAUUACGCGUGUGCUAGUUGGCCUUUUGUAAUAGUGGUACAAACAAAAGUUAAUUGCAUUUUGUCUUUCGAGUUUUAUUUGUUUAGCAAGACACGUUUUAGUUAAUUGAACCCUAUAAAUUUGAAUGAAAAAAGAAAAUAAAACAUUGUUAUUAUAAACAGAAAAAACUUGUUUACGCAACCUUUUUUUUUUCCCUUUCAUUGUUUCCUGACAAUUUUGGUGGAAGUCUUUAGCUUUUGUACACGUCAGAAUUUUAAGAUUAAUCAAAUUCCAAAUUAGAUUUUCCUUUUUUACUUAACAAACUCAUUUAUCUAUGACGUGUUUACCAAAUGGAGUUGGAGGGGAAGAACGAAAUUGCACUCUUCCCAAAGCAUGUGCUUUCCAACGUUUACUAGCAUUUAGAGAAUCAGAAAACAGGUGGGGUCCACCCAAUAUCAAUAAUUGUCUAACUGAAAAAAAAAAUUGAAAUUCUACCAUAAAACCAAUAUAUUUAAGAUCUUGUAUAUCUAUAUAAUCAGUAAUUGUCUGACCGAAGCAACCUUAUGAAGGUCCUCGACAUUUUACGUUGUUCCAAAGUCAAUUUGAUUUUGCAUAUCAACUAACAAACAUAGAUUAUCCUAAUCUCUAAUAAUACAUAUUCCUUAUCAGCUAACAAACAUAGGUAAUCCUAAUCUCUAAUAAUCUCACGUGCAUAACAAAAAGCCAACCAAGUGUAUAGCUCUCUGUAGAACUUACUUGCUGGCCUUGUAGAAUUGGACAAUACAACUCACGAGCCACGACUUAAAACAUGGACAUGUGUCCUUUCAUGGGUUAGCUUUUAGUUUUAUCUAGAUGGAUUGGAAAAGACGUGCAAUUUGAAAAUUCCACCCUUCAAUUCCUAGCUUGCGCUAUAUAAAUAGUAGUGACCUCUUAAUUUUCAUGCAUCGAUCUCAUCUGCAAUUAUCAUUGUUGUAUUAUUUUCUCCACCAUGGAGUCACCGAUAAUUACUAUCAAAGUUAUUUCAUUCUUUUGCUCGUACAUGCUUUUGUCGCACUUGCAUCUCACCACUUUGAACCCUACUGCCUUGCUUUGGAGGACUGUCAGUUUCCAGCCGUCUUUAACUUUGGGGACUCUAAUUCAGAUACUGGCGGAUUGGCCUCAUCCCUUAUUGCACCAACCCCUCCUUAUGGUGAGACAUUUUUUGGUAUGCCGGCCGGAAGAUUCUCAGAUGGCCGUCUCACAAUCGAUUUCCUCGGUAUGUGUAUUUGUUCUUUAACUACCUUACUUAUUUCAUAGUUUUCUCUUGCUUCUACUUAUUUCUUAUGUGGAUGAAAUUACUUAUUGUUUCCAAACUGUUUCAUUGAUGAUCUUGAAACUUAAAACAGUUUAUCUUGAAACAUCACUAUAUACUUUGUUCUAAAUUAUUAAAUUAGUAUUUCUUUUCUCAUAGAAACGAAAGAUUAUAUACCUUUUUUUUUAAUUAAUGUAGGGUUUUUGACUUGGAAUCUCUUAUACACUCUAAGAUUAAAGUUUGGAGAGGUAUUCAUCAAUUUACCUCCUGAACUUGUAAGGAUUGGCCAAUUUCCCCCUUUUACUCUCAUAAUUAGUCAAUUUGCACCCUACUGUUAAUUUUUUUAAUUUUUCAUCUAUUCUUCCGUUAAGUAGGUAUUUGCAUGACUGCCUUUAAAGGACAAAAAAGUCAUUUUCCCUACACCUAUCUUCUUCCUUUUCUUCGAACUUUCUCUUCUUCUUCCUUUUCUCUUUUUAAUUUUUCAUCUAUUCUUCCGUUAAUUAUGAGAGUCGAUGGAAGAAAUUGGCCAAAAUUAAAGUUGAGGGGGGAAAUUGGCCAAUGAUCACAAGUUCAAGGGGGUAAAUUGAUGACUACCUCAAGUUUGGAAGAAGAAAAUCGAACUUCAACCAUGCAUACAUGUAUAAAACGAAUCCAAAAGCAGAAUAUUAUUGUCUGAAACCGUGGAGCCGGUUGCCUUUCUGUUGAAUCCAAAAGCAUAGUUUUCUUGGUGUGGCCCAUGUUAAAAGGAAUCCAUUGAAGUUUUUAUACGCUUCUCAAUUGUUUGUCACUUGCCAUAACUUAACCUUGAUGGGAUGAAAUUUUUUUAGCAUGUAGGUCACAUUAGAACAUAAUAUUAUUAACUCACGUGUUAUAGGAUAAGUGUAUAACAUAAUUUAUAUGUUAUGAAUUUACGAAAUAAUAUUAAUUAAUAAAUGUAAUAAGAAAUAUUAUAUCAAUAAUACAAUUUCUUGGUGUAUCAGUCACUCAAAAAAAUUUCAUAUAUAUUCAUGACCAAAAUUUUUAUUAAAGGCUUCACUACAAAGUUUCCUUUUAAACUUUUGAAGUUUUUUUCACUUUUUGUCUUUCAAUUGUUUUUUUUCCAAAAAAUGAUCACCUUUGAACGUUUCUUAAAAUGAUAAAUGAUUAUUUUUUAAGGUUAUUUCACUCAAAGCAUUUGUGUUUACUUUGACGAAAUACUGUCUAUGUAUUGACUACUUCUAUCUAGAAUCCUAAUAUCUCUUUUUCUUCCCAUCAAGUUUAUAAUUGAAUUUAGAGAUUUUUUUUCUUCUAAUCCUGCUCAUUUUAUCCAUUAAAAGAGGCAUUUGAGGUCUACAAAAAAUGCACAGUCCUGUGUUGGUUCAAGAUGUUUUGCCACAGUGGUCCAUAAGGACACAAAAUACUAGCCAAAUUGAAUUUGUAGUUCAUCACUAGUUUUGUCAAUUCUCGCAGCUAACCCCAACGUGCGACCAACUUUAUUGACUUAAGGCCAUCUCUAAUUCUGGGCUAAAUGCUAUUUUUUUAGGUUUUAUUCCCCCCCCCCCCAAAUCCAACCCAACCCAUGCUAAAUGUGUAGGCUAAAAGCUAAAAACUAAACAAAAGCCAGAUUUAACCCAGGAUUAGUGGGGCUGGCCCACCAUAUAUGUGUAUUUUAUUUAGUUUUAUAUUUAUAAAUUCAUUGAAUCCAACGGUUAAAAUCUAAUUUGAUGAAAUUCAACCGUAAAAAAAAUAUUUAACAGUUCAAAUUUAAAUCUAACGGCAAAACUAGUUAAAAAAAAAAUCUUUUAUUGUUUCAUAUUUUUUUCAUAGUGUUUAACGAGUUUCAUGGUGUUGAUUUGUGAUUUUUCAAUAUUUGUCAGAAUCUAAAUAUUUUUUGGUUAAAAUGUUCAUAAAAUUAAAUUAUGAUAGUCUACAUAAUUUUUUCUUUUAAAAAAGUUACUUUAAGAAAAAAAUUAGCCUAAAUUCAUUUUUUAAUAAUCUGGAGCUAAAAAUUUAGGCCAUAAGGGUUGAAGCAGAAAAACCGUUUCUGGGUUAAAACCUAAAUUUUUUGAGCUAAAAAUUUUAGGUUUUAGCGCAAAGGUUGGAGAUGGUCUAAGUGACACUACCCCUAAAAUUCUCAUAGUGAAAAUCAGACGUAAUCAUCCCGAUUAUUCCUCAGAUAUAGUUGUAAAAUUCUUUUCUUUUCUUUUUUAGAGUUUUAUCUAUUCAAUAAUUUUUAUUUUUUGUGCUGUGGUGGUUGUCUGAUAAAGCUUUUGUGGUUCAGCAAAAAGUGUUGGCCACCCUUUUCUAAGCGCAUAUUUGGAUUCACUUGGGACCAACUUCUCUUCCG